UCCUCCAUAGCUCAGUUGGCUAGAGCGUCUGACUGUUACCGUCCUCGGACAAGCAGUUUAUCAGGAGGUCCACAGUUCAAACCUGUGUGGGGGAG
rfam:Coniochaeta ligniaria NRRL 30616 unplaced genomic scaffold CONLIGscaffold_7, whole genome shotgun sequence.